rfam:Gorilla gorilla gorilla genomic chromosome, chr15, whole genome shotgun sequence
UAUUAAGUUGGAGCAAAAGUAAUUGUGGUUUUUGCCAUUAAAAGUGAUGGCAAAAACCGCAAUUACUGUUGCUCCAACCUAAUA